rnacentral:lncRNA from 1 species
GUUACGGUAAGUAACUUUUUGGCCGUGGCUUCGGGGCCGACGCGGCUUAUUCCGGGUCCGGAUGACGGGGACCUCCCUGGGGCGCUCCUCUCUUGCGGGUCCGGAAGGGAGCUUCGGCUUCGCACCUGCACAGAGGUCAGGCCGAGGCACUCGGCCCGACCCCUCCGACGAUCAAGUUAGUAGAUGUGGAGGGGGUUUUAGAUGAAGGAGGGUAUAUGUUGUCUCCCCUCUCUCUAAUGGACAAGAGGGUAUUUAUAGGGAAGAAUACUGCUUCCCGAGCUGCCCACUUGCAAGGGGCAGGCUGGCAGCGUCUGACAGCAGUAGUGGCGUGGUGUGAAGAAUGAGCUUUGGCAGGAUGUUUAAUGU